rnacentral:rRNA from 1 species
GGCCUGGCUGGGUGGUCUUGCCGCAAGGUUAGCACUGCUCUGGUCGGGUCUUUCCUUCUGGGGAACCUGCGUGCGCUUAAUUGAGUGCGCAGGGGAUCCAGGACUUUUACUUUGAAAAAAUUAGAGUGUUUAAAGCAGGCAUUCGCUUGAAUACAUUAGCAUGGAAUAAUAGAAUAGGAC